rfam:Salmo salar isolate Sally breed double haploid chromosome ssa13, whole genome shotgun sequence.
AAUAGUAAAGGGGGUAAGUCGCUCUGGAUAAGAGCGUCUGCUAAAUGACUUAAA